rnacentral:rRNA from 1 species
GUAAACGGCGGCCGUAACUAUAACGGUCCUAAGGUAGCGAAAUUCCUUGUCGGGUAAGUUCCGACCUGCACGAAUGGCGUAAUGAUGGCCAGGCUGUCUCCACCCGAGACUCAGUGAAAUUGAACUCGCUGUGAAGAUGCAGUGUACCCGCGGCAAGACGGAAAGACCCCGUGAACCUUUACUAUAGCUUGACACUGAACAUUGAGCCUUGAUGUGUAGGAUAGGUGGGAGGCUUUGAAGUGUGGACGCCAGUCUGCAUGGAGCCGACCUUGAAAUACCACCCUUUAAUGUUUGAUGUUCUAACGUUGACCCGUGAUCCGGGUUGCGGACAGUGUCUGGUGGGUAGUUUGACUGGGGCGGUCUCCUCCUAAAGAGUAACGGAGGAGCACGAAGGUUGGCUAAUCCUGGUCGGACAUCAGGAGGUUAGUGCAAUGGCAUAAGCCAGCUUGACUGCGAGCGUGACGGCGCGAGCAGGUGCGAAAGCAGGUCAUAGUGAUCCGGUGGUUCUGAAUGGAAGGGCCAUCGCUCAACGGAUAAAAGGUACUCCGGGGAUAACAGGCUGAUACCGCCCAAGAGUUCAUAUCGACGGCGGUGUUUGGCACCUCGAUGUCGGCUCAUCACAUCCUGGGGCUGAAGUAGGUCCCAAGGGUAUGGCUGUUCGCCAUUUAAAGUGGUACGCGAGCUGGGUUUAGAACGUCGUGAGACAGUUCGGUCCCUAUCUGCCGUGGGCGCUGGAGAACUGAGGGGGGCUGCUCCUAGUACGAGAGGACCGGAGUGGACGCAUCACUGGUGUUCGGGUUGUCAUGCCAAUGGCACUGCCCGGUAGCUAAAUGCGGAAGAGAUAAGUGCUGAAAGCAUCUAAGCACGAAACUUGCCCCGAGAUGAGUUCUCCCUGACUCCUUGAGAGUCCUGAAGGAACGUUGAAGACGACGACGUUGAUAGGCCGGGUGUGUAAGCGCAGCGAUGCGUUGAGCUAACCGGUACUAAUGAACCGUGAGGCUUAACCUU